UUGACUACUGUAAUUAUGUAUCCAUAAUGCG
rnacentral:piRNA from 2 species